rnacentral:rRNA from 1 species
AGAACGAACGCUGGCGGCAUGCCUAACACAUGCAAGUCGAACGAGACCUUCGGGUCUAGUGGCGCACGGGUGCGUAACGCGUGGGAAUCUGCCCUUGGGUUCGGGAUAACAGUUGGAAACGACUGCUAAUACCGAAUGAUGACUUCGGUCCAAAGAUUUAUCGCCCAGGGAUGAGCCCGCGUAGGAUUAGCUUGUUGGUGAGGUAAAGGCUCACCAAGGCGACGAUCCUUAGCUGGUCUGAGAGGAUGAUCAGCCACACUGGGACUGAGACACGGCCCAGACUCCUACGGGAGGCAGCAGUGGGGAAUAUUGGACAAUGGGCGAAAGCCUGAUCCAGCAAUGCCGCGUGAGUGAUGAAGGCCUUAGGGUUGUAAAGCUCUUUACCCGGGAUGAUAAUGACAGUACCGGAGAAUAGCCCCGCUAACUCCGUGCCAGUAGCCGC